rnacentral:rRNA from 1 species
UACGUAGGGGGGCAAGCGUUGUCCGGAUUUAUUGGGCGUAAAGAGCGUGUAGGCGGCUUUGCAAGUCCGUUGUGAAAACUCGAGGCUCAACCUCGAGACGCCGGUGGAAACUGCAAAGCUAGAGUCCGGAAGAGGAGAGUGGAAUUCCUGGUGUAGCGGUGAAAUGCGCAGAUAUCAGGAAGAACACCCGUGGCGAAGGCGGGUUGCUGGGCCGACACUGACGCUGAAGCGCGAAAGCCAGGGGAGCGAACGGG